rnacentral:rRNA from 1 species
UACGUAGGGGGCUAGCGUUGUCCGGAUUUAUUGGGCGUAAAGAGCGUGUAGGCGGCCAGGUAGGUCUGCUGUGAAAACUCAAGGCUCAACCUCGAGACGUCGGCGGAAACCAUCUGGCUAGAGUCCGGAAGAGGAGAGUGGAAUUCCUGGUGUAGCUGUGAAAUGCGCAGAUAUCAGGAAGAACACCCGUGGCGAAGGCGGCUCUCUGGGACGGUACUGACGCUGAGACGCGAAAGCGUGGGGAGCGAACAGG